rnacentral:rRNA from 1 species
AACUAACUCUGGCGGCAUGCCUAACACAUGCAAGUCGAACGAGACCUUCGGGUCUAGUGGCGCACGGGUGCGUAACGCGUGGGAACCUGCCCUUAGGUUCGGAAUAACUCCCCGAAAGGGGUGCUAAUACCGGAUAAUGUCUUCGGACCAAAGAUUUAUCGCCUUUGGAUGGGCCCGCGUUGGAUUAGCUAGUUGGUAGGGUAAAAGCCUACCAAGGCGACGAUCCAUAGCUGGUCUGAGAGGAUGAUCAGCCACACUGGGACUGAGACACGGCCCAGACUCCUACGGGAGGCAGCAGUGGGGAAUAUUGGACAAUGGGCGAAAGCCUGAUCCAGCAAUGCCGCGUGAGUGAUGAAGGCCUUAGGGUUGUAAAGCUCUUUUACCCGGGAUGAUAAUGACAGUACCGGGAGAAUAAGCUCCGGCUAACUCCGUG